rnacentral:misc_RNA from 1 species
UUUCCGUAGGUGAACCUGCGGAAGGAUCAUUAUCGUACAAAAUGUGAGGGGCAUGCGAGGGCUGUCGCUGACCCAAAAGUCGUUCACGCCCGAGUGUGUCCUCUUGCGUAAUAAUCCAUCUCACCCUUUGUGCACCACCGCGUGGGCACCCUUCGGUAUCAUCUCGGAGGGGGGCUCGCGUUUUCACACAAACCCCCCUUUUAAAAGUGUAGAAUGACCACAUUUAUGCAAUCAAUACAACUUUCAACAACGGAUCUCUUGGCUCUC